rnacentral:rRNA from 1 species
AGGACGAACGCUGGCGGCGUGCUUAACACAUGCAAGUCGAGCGGAAAGGCCCUUCGGGGUACUCGAGCGGCGAACGGGUGAGUAACACGUGGGCAACCUGCCCUUAGCUCUGGGAUAGCUCCGGGAAACCGGAAUUAAUACCGGAUAUGACCUAGGCCGACAUCGGCUGUGGUGGAAAGUUUUUCGGCUAGGGAUGGACUCGCGGCCUAUCAGCUAGUUGGUGGGGUAAUGGCCUACCAAGGCGACGACGGGUAGCCGGCCUGAGAGGGCGACCGGCCACACUGGGACUGAGACACGGCCCAGACUCCUACGGGAGGCAGCAGUGGGGAAUCUUGCGCAAUGGGCGAAAGCCUGACGCAGCGACGCCGCGUGGGGGAUGAAGGCCUUCGGGUUGUAAAGCUCUUUUGGCGGGGACGAUGAUGACGGUACCGCAGAAUAAGCCCGGCUAACUUCGUGCCAGCAGCCGC